AAUCCAACCCUAUCUCACGGCGAAUUCGUAAUAAUUCAAACGAUUUAACCAAGUGGCUAAAUCGUAUGAAAUCAUACGAGCUGGCUCGUACGAAAUCGUACGAUUAGUUCAUCGCAUUUAACACAGCCCUGUGUUGCAGGGAUUUCGUGCUAAUUAAUACGAAUAGAUUAAAUCGUACUAUACCAUACGAUUUUGUUCAUCGCAUUCAAGAAGCGUGACCCGUAGCCAGAAAAAACCUCUGGGUGUGCACCUGAAAAUCUGCGUGUCACAGGCAGGCAAGAUGACCAGAAACGCUGGGGAAUUCAGGUGCUGUAAAUCCGGUGGACAGGACUCAUCUCGUUAUAGAUCAAGGUGUGCUACUGUGGGUGGCUCCGGCACACUCGUGGCUACGCCCCUGCCGUGACCCAAAUCUCGUUCGCACAUCAUCGCGAUAUUUAUCAUCUGUUUACAAACGUCGCCCCAUCUCGCUUCGUAAGAUGGAAUUACUGGACUUCUCUACAAUGCUCUUUAUUACCACACAGAGAGGCCAGCAUCGCUCCACAAAAGUUUUCAUUAAAAAC